AGGGGACCUGGAUCAGGAGUGAUCGCGAGAAUUGAAUGACUGAGCUCUUCCAAUCAGGAGGCUGGAACGGUCGUGAUGUCACUGGGAACGGGUGUUGCCGAGUGGAUUUGGGUAGACGGCUACUUUAAAAGAAUGCGCGGUGCAACCUCUUCUAAGCCAGGGGCGAACUCAGCGGUUUGGAACUCUGUCUGUUUCAUUCGCUUUAGGGCAGUCUAGACCUCGAGCACCUGGGAAGCAUCUUUGCUUCAAUCUGACGUUCCACUCUUCUCCCACACAUUUUACCCAGCACAGAGACAGGACGAACUGCCUCCGGGAUGCGGAAACCAGCGAUUGUAGAGCCUGGGAGAUGGUGUCGGGAGAGGGGGGUAGUGAGAGCCGAAGCCACAGUCACUAUGGGACAACUCCGAUUGAGGUCGUAUGUGCUCUAGGACUCCCCAUGGCAUUUCCUGAGGCUUCGAUACUUUUGACUGCUUGUCUGGACUAUUCUUGGGCUGAGCACAUAAAACUGAAUGCUUCUUUAAAAUUAUUUAAUCUC